rnacentral:rRNA from 1 species
UUGGAGGGCAAGUCUGGUGCCAGCAGCCGCGGCAAUUCCAGCUCCAAUAGCGUAUAUUAAAGUUGUUGCAGUUAAAAAGCUCGUAGUUGAAUUUCGAGAUCGGCUUACUGGUCGUGCUAUUGUACGUACUGGUAUAAUCGGUUUCUCCUUUCUGACGAACUAUAAUGCCAUUAAUUUGGUGUUAUAGGGAAUCAGGACUGUUACUUUGAAAAAAUUAGAGUGUUUAAAGCAGGCUCACGCUUGAAUACAUUAGCAUGGAAUAACGGAAUAGGACGUUUGAUUCUAUUUUGUUGGUUUCUAGGAUCGACGUAAUGAUUAAUAGGGAUAGUUGGGGGCAUUAGUAUUCAAUUGUCAGAGGUGAAAUUCUUGGAUUUAUUGAAGACUAACUACUGCGAAAGCAUUUGCCAAGGAUGUUUUCAUUAAUCAAGAACGAAAGUUAGGGGAUCGAAGACGAUCAGAUACCGUCGUAGUCUUAACCAUAAACUAUGCCGACUAGGGAUCGGAUGAUGUUAAUUUUUUAAUGACUCAUUCGGCGCCUUACGGGAAAC